UCACCCUUCUCUCCAUCACAGGGAGACUGACCUCUGUCUGGGCUCUGGCCUCCAGUUGUGUCCGCCCAGUGGGAACCACCUGCAAGAGACUGCUCGAGGGGAAGACAGAGUUUUCAGGUAGCGGCAGAUAGCAGUAAGCAGUACAGAAGUUGGCUGGAGAUCUGGACUGGGGGCCUCCAACAGUCAGGACUUGGGGAGGAGGCAGGGCUUCAGCUGGAGAAUUUACGGACGAUGGAGAGAAAAUAUUUGGGAAGAGCAUCAAGCAAAGUCAAAGAUGGAAGCGGCACGGAGAUCUACCUGUAUUUGGGGAUCAAUUGGAAAGAGCUCUUCAUGGAGGGUAGCAGAGAAUUCAACUUUAUGAUUUGGAAAGAUCAAGCUGACGGUAGGUGAUUCUCCUAAGGCUUGGGGUGAGUUGAAAGAGAAUCGAACACAAGCCACACAGAUGGAUGUGAUGCCUUGGCUUGGGGCCUGCCGCAAGAGCCCAGUGUGAAGGCCAACAAAAAGGGCCACCUGCAAAAAUGGAAAGCUACAUGUUGACCCCAGCCAUGUGCCUGCCAACCAUCUUGCUGCUGCCCCUUGGAGCUCCUUCCUGCACUGCAAAUGUGUCCAUCUUGCUCCCUCUUCCUCUGAUGCCCUUCUUGUCAUGGUUCCCAUAGCUGGCUCCUUCCCAUCUGAUGAGGAGUCCACUGCAGCAAAGCCUUCUGAAGCAGCCUCUCACAGGAGUAAAUGGCCAUUACAACACAUGACUAGAUACAAGAAUGGAAGCAUGAGUGUGAGUUCACUUCGUCAUUGUCUCUGCCAUAAUUUUCAUGAAGGUACUAUGAUUGUUGAGCUUGCUCGUUUUUAGUUCUUGGUGGGUACUCAAGUGACUCUCAGUCCUGCUGGCUUUAAUUCUUUACAUUGGUUUAGAUAUUAUAUAUGCAUCAUUCUCAAUCAUUAUAGAAGGUUUAAGAAGAUAUUUAGAGAUAUAAAAUGGUCUGUUUUCCAAAUUGUUCACUUUGUUUGACAUAGUUUUUUUUUUUUUUGGUUAUUUGCUUUUUUUUAUUGAAGAUCAGUUGACAUACAAUGUUAUAUUAGUCUCAAGUAUAUAAUACAGUGAUUUGACAAUUCUGUACAUUACCCAGUGCUCACCACAAUAAAUGUAGUCACCAUCUGCCAAGUUGGUCACUCUUGAUAAUCUUGGCUAGAAUAUUAAAGAUUAGUCACCUUUAAUUAAAAAAAAAAAGAAAUACUGAUUCUAAGGGGCACAUGCUCCACCUCAAUGUUUAUAGCAACAUUAUCAACAAUAGCCAAAUUAUGGAAAAAACCCAAAUGUCCAUCAGCUGAUGAAUGGAUAAAGAUGAAGUUGUGAUAUCUCUCUCUCUCUCUCUCUCUCUCUCACACACACACACACACACACACACACACACACACACACACAGGAAUAUUACUCAGCCAUCAAAAAGGAUGAAAUCUUGUCUUUUGCAACAACGUGGAUGGAGCUAGAGUAUAUUAUGCUAAGUGAAAUAUGUCAGUCAGAGAAAGGCAAAUACCAUAUGAUUUCACUCGUAUGUGGAAUGUAAGAAACAAAACAGAUGAACAUAGGGGAAGAGAAAAAAAAAACAGAGAGGGAGGCAAGCCAUAAGAGACUCUUAACCAUAGGGAACAAACUGAGGGUUGAUGGAGGGGAGGUAGGAGGGGGGAUGAGCUAGAUGGAUGAUGGAUAUUAAGGAGGACACUUGUUGUGAUGAGC